AUUAUUCAGAGUUUUGAACUGGCUCAGGAUGAACGCUGGCGGCGUGCCUAAUACAUGCAAGUCGAGCGAAUGGAUUAAGAGCUUGCUCUUAUGAAGUUAGCGGCGGACGGGUGAGUAACACGUGGGUAACCUGCCCAUAAGACUGGGAUAACUCCGGGAAACCGGGGCUAAUACCGGAUAACAUUUUGAACCGCAUGGUUCGAAAUUGAAAGGCGGCUUCGGCUGUCACUUAUGGAUGGACCCGCGUCGCAUUAGCUAGUUGGUGAGGUAACGGCUCACCAAGGCAACGAUGCGUAGCCGACCUGAGAGGGUGAUCGGCCACACUGGGACUGAGACACGGCCCAGACUCCUACGGGAGGCAGCAGUAGGGAAUCUUCCGCAAUGGACGAAAGUCUGACGGAGCAACGCCGCGUGAGUGAUGAAGGCUUUCGGGUCGUAAAACUCUGUUGUUAGGGAAGAACAAGUGCUAGUUGAAUAAGCUGGCACCUUGACGGUACCUAACCAGAAAGCCACGGCUAACUACGUGCCAGCAGCCGCGGUAAUACGUAGGUGGCAAGCGUUAUCCGGAAUUAUUGGGCGUAAAGCGCGCGCAGGUGGUUUCUUAAGUCUGAUGUGAAAGCCCACGGCUCAACCGUGGAGGGUCAUUGGAAACUGGGAGACUUGAGUGCAGAAGAGGAAAGUGGAAUUCCAUGUGUAGCGGUGAAAUGCGUAGAGAUAUGGAGGAACACCAGUGGCGAAGGCGACUUUCUGGUCUGUAACUGACACUGAGCGCGAA
rnacentral:rRNA from 1 species